GGGAGCGGAGGGCGCGGAUUGGCCGCGGGGUGGGGCCGGGCCGGGCCGGGCGAGGCAGGCCGGGGCGUGGGAUUGGCUAAAUGCAGGGCGGGGCUGUAAACGCGGAGUGCCUGUCCGACAGUCGGGCGCGGGGUUGCGGUUUUCGGCACUGCUGCUGCGGCGCUCCGGGGCUCCGCCGCCGGGCUCUACCCUUUCCUUUCCUUUCCUUCCCGUGGGGCCUGGCCGCCCGGGACGGCUCUGGCCGGGCGUUGCCCCGCCCCGCCCCGCCCCCUGCGCCUCGCAGCCGGACAGGAGGAAGCGGCGGCCGGGGAACGACUUGCAGGGGGAGCUCGGCAGCUGCCGGCCUGCGAGGCCGGAGCCGCGCCCGGGCAGGUGAUGGGCCGGCGGCUCGGCCGGGCACCGGGCCGGGCAGGAAGCUCCCGCGGCGACCGAGGACCUGGAGACGGCUACGCGGGACCCGGCAGCCCUGCUGGAGGCCAGAGGUGGGUCCGGGAGCUGAGGGGUCCCGGCAGCUCCAGGGAGGCUGCACACACUGACUCCCCGGCCUGUGCCCCAGGCAGGUGCUGGGCCCCAGUGCCAUCCCCCGGCUGUCUCUGCUCCUCGUCUCCCUUCGGGCUCCGAGGCUCUGGCCGAGCAGCCCCAGGGCUGGCCCCCUCGGUACGGCGGAGCUGCGCAGAUGCCGCCCAAAGGAGCAGAGACCAAAGAAGGCUCAGACGCUGUCACUUGAAACGAGGCGGAGAGGGGAGAGGAUCAAGGGCUGUAACAUUAUGAAGGAGGUGGACCAAGUCCCAGAAGACCAGCGCCAGGGGUUGCCUGCUGCAAUGAGGAGGUGACGCGCUCGAACUACUAAGAGAAAGGACUAAUUUUACGCGGCGCACUGUUACUGUGUAGAACUCAUUGCCACGGGAGGGGAUGGAGGCAGAGCAGAACUGGGGUCAACAAGGGGCUGGAGAAAUAGGUAGCCAUCAACAGAUGGAUCAUCCAUUGAACAGAGCAGCUGGACGUGCCAUCUCUGGCAUCUCUCGCCCAACAACGGUGGAUGCUGGGGAGAGGGUUGAACGGGAGGGAGAUCAUUCCUGGCUUAGCAGGGAGUGGGGUGGCAGUAGUGCAGGGGUGGGGUGGGGUAAGGGCAGUUCCCCCUCUGCCAGUGGUCACUAUACUGGUGAGGGGUAGGCUGUUGAGCAGCUCAUGGAUGCUUUUCUCCAAUGGCGCUAUGUUUACAAACGUGAGCCUGUGGACCGGGUCCGGGCAGGUACCCCUAUGCGCUGCACUUUGAGCCAGCCUCUCCCACCUGUUGAGGAACUGCCCCUUAGCAAGUUCUGGAGGAGGUGGGUCAGUUUGCUCUUUUGGGAAGGCACGUGGGGCUCCUGCAGAAGGAGAGGUGAAGCAGGAGUCAGGACCCCAUCCCAGACAUGCAUAGACAAAAGGGCUAGGCUGGCAGUGUGCCAAGCCUCUCUCCUCCCCCCACCCCAUGCCAGGUAGGAUGCAGCAAGGCUUCAGCCUGAUGGUGUGGUUCUAGCAUGGGGGUUCCCUUACCUUCCUGAGCAGCACCAGGAUGACCAGGCCUGGUGUGGAGAGGCUGGUGUUGAUGGCCUGCAUGUCUCCUGCAACCACUCGCCCUUCAACUGUGAUAUGUUCAGACGCUUGCUGCCAGGUGAGCUGGGCUCAGUAUGGCUCUGGCAGAGGGAGGGGCUGACACAGGACUGGCAAGAGACCACCAUCUCUUCCCCGCCAAGCUUGCUGGGCACUCCCAGCAUUGCCCGAGUCCCAUGGGUUGCAGUUCUCCCCCAGCUCCAGAUCACGUUGUCACUGCCACAAGAUCCUGGUCCUGAAGCAGCUCCCUGCCCAGCCACACACCCUGCCAGUGCUGCUGGGGCUGGUCCCUAUGCAAACCCUGGCUCCCUGCUGGCACAGCUGCCACUCUUGGUCUUCAUGGAGACCAGCUGCCGCAUACAGGGAGGGGUGCUGGGAAGUGGAGUCUACCACAGGCCCAGUCUGGUACAUGGGCCACACUUUGCCUGUGCCUGCUCUACAAGAUCUGAGUAGCUUGCUGGCUCACCUCCUUUGAUUACUUCCCCCUUGGCUAUUCGGGGAGCCAUGGCAGUAACCCUUUCCUGAAGUAUAUGUAGCUUCUCCCUUUCUUUUUCUGCUUUUCUCUGUCAAAACAAGCCAUUCCAGCUCCCUUGGGUGCAGAAGCUGAAAGAGGUAAACACCUUGACUCCUUAGUUUGCUGUUCUUAUCCCCCUCACUGCACGUCUCAUUUCAAAGAGGCCACUGCUGUCUUGGCCUUUUCACAAUAGCACCUCGCUACCUCAACCUCCCACUGGAACUUACCUGCUCUCUCUCCCAUCUCCUCAGAAAACAGCUGUAGAUCUAAUAACUGGCAUUUUAGCUCCUCCUUUGGUUUCAACUUUUGCUAUGACUUAAACUUGAAUGAAAGCCUGACCCACUUGCUUUCUCUAAAUCUCUGCCUCUCCCCUCCCUGCUAGGCUGGGGUUCUCCGUAUUUGCCUGACCCAGGCCUUCCUCUGCUCUUGUUUGGCCCAAGGGUCCUCUUUAUUCUUCUAGGAAACAAGUCCUUUUUUGCGCACGGCUGUCUCUGCCAAUGCAAAGGUUUGUGUUCCCAUGCCUCAAUGGGUUUUUUUGGUGGAAAAUGAGGUGACCUAAGGGUCCUAGAGCAAGCCCCAGUUCUAGCUGCCAGCAGCCUCCUCCCAGACCCUGUUGAAGUCUCAGUUCUGCCCCUUUUAAACUAAGUGGGUCCUCCUGACUUGCUCAGGACACCUAGUCUUAAGUGGCUCUAUCCACCCCUUGCACCACACCCAUGCCUUGCAGAAUUACUGUCAGAUCAGUAAUUGGUUAGUUCUUGGUCUUCUCUAGCCUCUGCCCCUUUCCUCUGGCUGCAAGCUUCCAGUCCUGGCCCACAGUUUCAGGUCUGGCUAUCUCUGCUUCAUCCCUGUCAGUUACUAGUAGAGGCAGUGCUCUGAUUUUAAAACACAACUGGUUCCUGAAAAUGGCUUCUUAAGUUGAAACGUUGCAACUCCGGAACCAAUUUUCUCAUAAGAAACAAUAUUAUAAAUGGAGGAUUGGCCCAAUUUACCCUAUUUUCACCAAGAAUACCCCAGAACUUUGUACUCGAUCAAUUAUAGAUGAGUAAUAUAGCUACAUUAAUGUACUUGUAUUGUAAAAGGCAGUCAUGGAUUUGGAAGGACUCCUUUGAGGUGAUUUUGCUGGAUUUUUUUGAAGGGUUCUUGGCUGCAGGUUUUUCUGGAGUCUUGUCUGCUUUCUUAAAGGAAGUGUCCAAGGAAGCUUGGACAGAUGUUCUCCAGGGAGAUGAGUGACAUGGCAAACUUGUUCACUGACAUGGCGUCACAUUGGAUCAAGCGUCGAAAGUCGAGACUGAUGUCCGAAAGAUGAAAGAGGAUGUCAAUUUAUAAAUGUUGUUGUAAGUGCAAAAUGUUGCAAUUCGAAACGUUGUAAGUCGAGGACUCCCUGUAUUUCUUGGCCUCUGGCCCCUGUGUCCCUUUGACUGGGGCUAGCACACUCCCUCCUUUGGGCACUGAGGCCCCGGCCUGGUGUCUGCCUUUCCUGGGCUGCUGGGCCCCAGGCCCUUAUUCUGCCUUUCUCGGGCUACAGGUCCUCUGACCCCCUUGGUCUCUGGCAGAGGUCCCUGAUCUUUGGUCUUACUAGACCUUGUCCCUGCUUCUAGCCCAGCUGAGACCAUGGGCCCCCUUGCCCUGCUUCAGCUCUGGUCUGGGACCUGAACUUGUUUUGCCUCUGUUUUCUCCAGGCCCCCUAGUCUGAUCUGGCUUGAGUUGCAUUUGGCUGCAGUCCUUCCCUAAGCUGCCACCCUACAAGGCUCAAGCCCCCAGCCCCUGGCAAGGCUCCAGACACUCUUGUGCCUCCCAGCAGAGCUGGGACCUCCAUACCACCCCUGCUAGUCCCAAACACACACUGCCAGUUGCAAGCCAUAACAAAGUUAACCUGCUCUAGGUAUAGCCAGCAACAGCAGUAGUUCACUGUGUCACAGCAAGGCUUCUCCUCUGGGGUUGUGUUCCCUUGAAAGACACCAGUGUUGUGCUGACAGCUCUGAAGUCAGCCUGGCAUCUUCCUGGCUUGGAGCUGCUCAUGUAGUGGCUUGCAGGGCUGCACUCCCUCCAUGGCUCAGGCUCACGGCCUAUAUACUACCUAAGCCCUGCCCUCUCCCUAACCAUGGCAGUUCUUCCUUGGGGCCUAAUGAUAGGCUGCAAGGUGACUUAGGAGGCUGCUAGAGCAGUAGUUCUGCUGCUCAAGCUAGGCUUUGCCCUGUUGGUUUGUUGAAGGCUGUCAGACCUGCAGUAAGCAGUCAUAGCUUCUGGUCUCCAGCUGCCUAUUCCCUUGUAGCCAGCUAGGUAGAGAGCUGGCUGAUGGCAGGUGCAACCCUUUACCGCAGGGGUGGGCAAAAUUAUGGCCCAUGGGCCACAGCCGGCCCACUGAGGGGUUUUGUCUGUCCCCCGCUGGGUCCCUUGGUCCUGCCCAGCUCAAGCAUGCGGGUCAGGCUAAGCUGUGGUGCAUAUGGCCCAUUCUGCCACCCCUGGACAUAAGCCCCCCCCCCCCCCAGCUCUACUGCAUAGCGGGUAGAUUCCACUUUUUGGCAGCCCCAGUAGCAGCUCCUUCUGGCUGCUGCCACCAGAGCCAUCCCUGCUGCCCUAGCACCCCAGCCCAUGUGCCCUGCACCCACUGCUGGGGGUGGUACCCUCACGGGCAGGGCAAGUGGGAUCGGGCUGAGGAGCAGCGUCCAGUAGUGAGACGGAUGGACAGGACCAAAGAGACCCCAAGAUCUUGGGUCGGUAACAGCGUGGGGCCCGGGGCAGAACUGAAAUCCACUGCAAGCACACCCCUACAACUGGCACAGGUUCUGUGACGGGCGUGCAGGGAACGGAUCACGGCUCGGCCCUGGCCCUGCACUAUCCCGGCCCCAAGAACCUGGCCCUGGACACAGCUUCCUGGAUGCCUGCAGCUCCUGGCUUGUCUCUAUGGAGACCCUGGGAUUGCAGGGCGGUGACAGCAUGGGUCUAGGGCAGAGCCCCAGCUCUGCAGGCAGACAUGCUGGGAGUACAUUGCAGCCUCGCCCCUGCCCACAUACCAUCACCGGCCUGCAAUUCUGGGUUGUCCAUGGAGACUGACUGAGACCCGUGCAGGUAGGGAGCUUGGCCACAUGGCUGGGAUGAGGCUGCAGGCCAAAGAGCGAGAUGGGCAGAUAGGGCUGGGGAGACUCUGGGAUCUGGGGGUGAGGACUGUGGGACCGGGGUCAGAGCAGAGCUGUGAUCUGCUCCCUGUGUACCUCUGCCCUUGGAUCCGGUGCCUGUUUGCAGGGGUAUGCAGGCACCAGAUGGAGGCUGACCCCAGCCCCAUGCUGUCACCACUGUGCAGCCCUGCCCUAAUGUACUGGUCUUGCUCCCAAAUGCUGUUUCCCAGCCGCCUGUCUGCAGCCCCAUCCCACAUAGGGAGUUUUGGUGAGUUGUUGCGGCAGAGGUGCUGAUCCCGCUUGUGAUACUCCACAAAACACCCUCUGUGGCCUGUGGACCCAAAUAAUUGCCUACCCCUGCUUUCCCCUAAUGGGCCUCUCCCCUGCGUGGCCAGCAGGGCUUUGCCAUUGCCUGUUUCCCUAGUUGUUGUAGUUUUUCUUCUUAAAGUAACAGAAGCCUCAGGCUCUCUGUGUGUCCCCGUCCUCCCCCAACACACAAACCUUCUUGUCUGUCACACAGCUAUGGUUGGGGAGGGGUGGCAGCUUGCAGGGCUUAUCAUUACCAUACUAGUACUUCCAAUACAGAUCCUGCUGUCUUGGACUUGGCAGCUGCCUCCUGGCAGGGUCCCUUCUGACCCAAAUUGUAGUCUUAUUUCCAGGGAGGGGUCUGCCUUCUAUGUUCAUGAGUGAUUUCCUCUCCUCCCAUAUCUUGUCCCACCAAGCAAUCUCGGGGCCCCAUUUUCCCACGCUCUGGAAGACCUGAUCAUUUCAUCUCCACGGCCUUCCUUCCAGUCCUAGAGGCCUAUCUCCAAGCUCCCGCUUGGUUCAAGUCUUCAGUGAAUCUUCAGCAGACUUCCUGGUUUUGAACUCCAGCCUCCCAGUCAUUGGGUCUUCCCCCAGCUCCUUUCUGUAGGUCUACAAAAGUAAUCUUUCCCACUCUGGCUGUGAACAGUGUCUGAACAGUUCAUCGCUUAGUGUUUUCUGGAAGGUUACUUAUCAAUAUCAUCCCCUUUCUCUCAAGAUCUUCUAUUUCUUGCCCCUUUACCUUUUGAAAGGGGUGGAUGUUUCUUCUCCUCACCUUAGCCUGAGCUUGCCUUGCUUUGUAGGGCUCUUGGUUCUGUGCCUGGGGUUUCUUCCUCUGGCACCAACUUGGAAACUCUUGCUCUGGGUUUUCCUGAAUUUCUGCUGCUCUUUCCCCUUCUAGUUGCUCUAGUCUUGGCCCCAUUUUUGCCUUGCUCUGUCUUCUGUGACAGCAACUCAGACUGGCUCCUUUAUUCGGGGUGCCUGGUGCUAUUUCUUCAGCCAGCUCCCCUACAUCUGCAAUCAUUGAUGUCCCCUCCAGUUACCUAUUGCAGUAUUUCCCCACAGGCGCGUGUUUGGUGUGGAACCCUCUUUUUCGAGGCCUCUUCAUGCAUUUGCCCUGAAAACUCCCACCUUCUGCAUCUUUACCUUCAUCCCCUUUCUUUACCACCGCUAUGGUCUCAGCUGUGACCUCCCUUUUGCAUAGCCUCUCAAGGCAGGGCUGCAACAUGCAUUAGGUAGGCUGGGCCACCUGCACUGCUUCUCUGGCCAUCCAAAACACUGCUCCUGCAGCCUCCUCCCUGAUCUCAGCAUCUCUUCCUUCUGUUCAGGGUGGCUCAGCACAUAGGGCAGUUUUGGCAGGGAUGAGUAGUGCUCCUGCCCAAUGUCUUGGCUUGGUCCUUUUCCCAGCAGGCUGUGGCCUCUUUCCUGAGCCCUUCCCAGAUCAGCCUCUAAGUGCCACACUUGGUUUUUCACUGCUGCAGUCUGUCUUUGUACUGGCUCAUGAGCUGUCAACUCCCUACUCAGUUCUCCAGUCUUUUUUUCAUGGGCUGUCCCCUCUGGUUCUUCCAGCUUCUGGUCAAGGUGUCCUAUCCUUCGCCUGUCUUUCACCUCCGGCCGUUCAGUCAUGCCUUAGGCUCUGUAAGCUCCCCGAGUGUCUUGGCUGCCCUUCAACCCCUUCAGUCUGCCAAAUGGCUGCUCUUGCAGCCUCUAGCUGUGCUCGGGUUUCACCUAAAAGUUCCCUCAAAGUUGCCUCCCAUUCCAGUAAACUGUUUUGGUAUUCGGU